rnacentral:rRNA from 1 species
CCUACGGGAGGCAGCAGUAGGGAAUAUUGCUCAAUGGGGGAAACCCUGAAGCAGCAACGCCGCGUGGAGGAUGAAGGUUUUCGGAUUGUAAACUCCUUUUGUUAGAGAAGAUAAUGACGGUAUCUAACGAAUAAGCACCGGCUAACUCCGUGCCAGCAGCCGCGGUAAUACGGAGGGUGCAAGCGUUACUCGGAAUCACUGGGCGUAAAGAGCGCGUAGGCGGGAUAGCAAGUCAGAUGUGAAAUCCUAGGGCUUAACCAUAGAACUGCAUUUGAAACUGUUAUUCUAGAGUAUGGGAGAGGUAGGUAGAAUUCUUGGUGUAGGGGUGAAAUCCGUAGAGAUCAAGAGGAAUACUCAUUGCGAAGGCGACCUGCUAGAACAUAACUGACGCUGAUGCGCGAAAGCGUGGGGAGCAAACAGGAUUAGAUACCCCAGUAGUC